AUUCUACUCCCUCCAUUGCACAAUACAUGCCUUCUAUUUGUCAGAAUAUAUAUGUAUCUAGACAUGAUUUAGUAUAUAGGUACAUCCAUUUUUGGACAAAUGGAAGUCAAGUAUUUUGGAACGGAGGGAGUACACA
rnacentral:pre_miRNA from 1 species